UAUGUUCUUCGUGAACAUGGCGUACUGCUCAGUAACACGUGGAUAACCUGCCCUUGGGACCGGGAUAACCCCGGGAAACUGGGGAUAAUACCGGAUAACGCAUAUCUGCUGGAAUGCUUUAUGCGUAAAAUGGAUUUGUCUGCCCAAGGAUGGGUCUGCGGCCUAUCAGGUAGUAGUGGGUGUAAUGUACCUACUAGCCUACGACGGGUACGGGUUGUGAGAGCAAGAGCCCGGAGAUGGAUUCUGAGACAUGAAUCCAGGCCCUACGGGGCGCAGCAGGCGCGAAAACUUUACAAUGCGGGAAACCGUGAUAAGGGGACACCGAGUGCCAGCAUCAUAUGUUGGCUGUUCAGAUGUGUAAAAUACAUCUGUUAGCAAGGGCCGGGCAAGACCGGUGCCAGCCGCCGCGGUAACACCGGCGGCCCGAGUGGUGAUCGUGAUUAUUGGGUCUAAAGGGUCCGUAGCCGGUUUGGUCAGUCCUCCGGGAAAUCUGACGGCUCAACCGUUAGGCUUUCGGUGGAUACUGCCAGACUUGGAACCGGGAGAGGUAAGAGGUACUACAGGGGUAGGAGUGAAAUCUUGUAAUCCCUGUGAGACCACCUGUGGCGA
rnacentral:rRNA from 1 species